UACGAAGGGGGCUAGCGUUGCUCGGAAUCACUGGGCGUAAAGCGCACGUAGGCGGCUUUUUAAGUCAGAGGUGAAAUCCUGGAGCUCAACUCCAGAACUGCCUUUGAUACUGGAGAGCUUGAGUCCGGGAGAGGUGAGUGGAACUGCGAGUGUAGAGGUGAAAUUCGUAGAUAUUCGCAAGAACACCAGUGGCGAAGGCGGCUCACUGGCCCGGUACUGACGCU
rnacentral:rRNA from 1 species